AAGAGGGAACCCGGUGCGACUCCGGGACUGCCCCGCAGCGGUGAGUGGGAACGACCGCCGUCAUGAGCACUGGGAGCGAUCCCGGGAAGCGACGGCCAGUAGGACGUGCACCCGUGCACGACGCCCGCGAGUCCGAAGACCU
rnacentral:ncRNA from 2 species